ensembl:lncRNA
GCGCGGCUCCAGGAGGAACGCCCAGCACGCGGAGAAGGUGUCGCCGGCUGCUCUUUAAAAUUCCUCGUUUUGAGAGGGAUUUUUUGAGGAACUGCCUUUCUUUUUAGCAGGAGCACUGUAUUGAAGUUACCAAAGCCCCUCCCUCAGUCUUGCCAAUGGACCAACCACAGGCCUCUCUCACUUCAGAGGAGUAAAACGGCCCCUGCGGGGCUUCUUGACCAAACCACAGUUUAAAGAGGCGGAGACAGGUGGGAGUCGGGGGCGGGAAACAUCCAGAAAGCAGUGAUGCACCAAGUGUGGAGACAGAAGAGUUUCCAAGCAGAGCGCUGGCAGUGGCUGCUCCCCCUUCCUCCAGUGAGCCUGCUUUUCCAUACUGGAAGAAGAUGAAAUGCACAUUUCAGAAUAACAACUGAUUGACAUCAGAGAAGAUGGAAAUCUAUAGCCAAAUUUUAACAAAAGUCUUUCCAUAAUUGGUGAAUGAAAUUUAGUUAAAACAGCCAAUAAAGAAAAUUAUGGAUUUAUGUUUCUUCAUGAGACAUAUUCCUUAGUUGCAAAAACCACUACAACAAAACACUGGAGAAAAUGAAUUAACAAACAUUUAAAUGAUUGUUGGACUAUAAAGAAAGCUGAGUGCCAAAGAAUUGAUACAUUUGAACUAUGGUGGUGGAGAAGACUCUUGAGAGUCCCCUGGACUGCAUGGAGAUCGAACCCAUCCAUCCUAAAGGAAAUCAAUACUGAAUAUUCAUUGGAAGGACUGAUGUUGAAGCUGAAACUCCAAUACUUUGGCCACCUGAUGUGAAGAGCUGACUCCUUGGAAAAGACCCUGAUGCUGGGACAGGUUGAAGCCAGGAGAGGGGGAU